rnacentral:rRNA from 1 species
AUUGAACGCUGGCGGCAGGCCUAACACAUGCAAGUCGAGCGAGCGGCGGACGGGUGAGUAAUGUAUGGGGACUGCCCGAUAGAGGGGGAUAACUACUGGAAACGGUGGCUAAUACCGCAUACUAUCGGAUAACCCAUAUGGGAUUAGCUAGUAGGUGGGGUAAAGGCUCACCUAGGCGACGAUUUCUAGCUGGUCUGAGAGGAUGAUCAGCCACACUGGGACUGAGACACGGCCCCGACUCCUACGGAGGCAGCAGUGGGGAAUUUUUGGCAAGGGGCGAAAGCCUGAUUGAGCCACGCCGCGUGUAUGAAGAAGGCCUUAGGGUUGUAAAGUUCUUUUCGCGGGGAGGCGUUACCCGCAGAAGAAGCAACGGCUAACUCCGUGCCAGCAGCCGCGGUAAUUC